rnacentral:rRNA from 1 species
CCUACGGGCGGCAGCAGUGAGGACUCUUGGUCAAUGGGCGGAAGCCUGAACCAGCCAAGUAGCGUGCGGGAUGAAGGCCCUACGGGUCGUAAACCGCUUUUGCCCGGGGAUAACACCCUCCACUUGUGGAUGUCUUCAGGUACCUUGCGACUAAGGGCCGGCUAAUUCCGUGCCAGCAGCCGCGGUCAUACGGAAGGCCCGAGCGUUAUCCGGAUUCAUUGGGCGUAAAGGGAGCGUAGGCGGGCGUUCAAGUCAGCUGUAAAAUCGCGCGGAUCAACCGCGCCCCGCAGUUGAAACUGGACACAUUGAGUUCACAACAGGCAGGCGGAAUUCGUGGGGUAGCGGUGAAAGGCAUAGAUAUCACGAGGAACCCCGAUUGCGAAGGCAGCCUGCCGGGGUGCGACUGACGCUGAGGCUCGAAGGUGCGGGUAUCAAACAGGAUUAGAUACCCGGGUAGUC